rnacentral:lncRNA from 1 species
CUGGAGACCUAAGUCCUCCAGGCUUGGCACAGGGCGUCCAGUGCUAUUGGGUUGUAGGGGGAAGCAACCAUGUGCUCUUGUGGUUCUGUUACCUGAAUUGUUAUUUGACAUUUAGGGCAAAAAAGUUCAUAAAUGUGAUGAACAUGAUGAAAAAAAGAAGAAAAAAGUCAUGGCAAAUACAAGUUAUCAACCAAAAUAUAUAUAUAUAGAAAAGGAUCAAGCUGAAAGUUGAAACAAAAGAAUUCAUAAAUUGAAAUGCAAAAAAAAAAUGUCUCAAAAAUGUCAAAUACACUUUCAGGUAGCAUUGCCACAUUAACUCAUCUCUGAAUUCUGCCCUGCUCAGUGCCCAUUUCUUAAGACUGUCGCAUUUAAAUUGAUAAGGUAAGUAUACCAGGUAAGAAAACAUUUAAGGCGAUAGUGUUCUGAAAUCUGUACUGUUCAGUGUAUACUUCAGAGCUAAUAAGCAGGUGGUAAAAGGUCUCUGUUUU